GUUUACGGCCAUACCAGCCUGGGUACGCCCCGAUCUCGUCUGAUCUUGGGAAGCUAAGCAGGGUAGGGCCCUGGUUAGUACUUGGAUGGGAGACUGCCAGGGGAAUACCAGGUGCUGUAAGCU
rnacentral:rRNA from 1 species